rnacentral:rRNA from 1 species
UACGGAGGAUGCAAGCGUUAUCCGGAAUGAUUGGGCGUAAAGGGUCCGCAGGUGGCAGUGUAAGUCUGCUGUCAAAGAAUGAGGCUUAACCUCAUCAAGGCAGUGGAAACUACACAGCUAGAGUACGGUCGGGGUAGAAGGAAUUUCUGGUGUAGCGGUGAAAUGCGUAGAGAUCAGGAAGAACACCGGUGGCGAAAGCGUUCUGCUAGACCUGUACUGACACUGAGGGACGAAAGCUAGGGGAGCGAAUGGG